rnacentral:rRNA from 1 species
CGACGCAGCCACGCCGCGUGAGUGAUGAAGGCCUUCGGGUUGUAAAGCUCUGUCGGAGGGACGAAAGGAGCAAUCCUUGACGGUACCUCGCAAGAAAGCACCGGCUAACUCUGUGCCAGCAGCCGCGGUAAUACAGAGGGUGCAAGCGUUGCUCGGAUUUACUGGGCGUAAAGCGUACGCAGACGGUGAGAAAGGUCGGAUGUGAAAGCCCCGGGCUCAACCCGGGAACUGCAUCCGAAACCAUCUCGCUAGAGUAUGGGAGAGGGAAGCAGAAUUCCUGGUGUAGAGGUGAAAUUCGUAGAUAUCAGGAGGAAUACCUGCGGCGAAGGCGGCUUCCUGGCCCAUUACUGACGUUCAGGUACGAAAGCGUGGGUAGCAAACAGGAUUAGAUACCCUGGUAGUCCACGCCGUAAACGAUGUGUGCUGGAUGUCGGGGGUAUUCACCCCCUCGGUAUCGAAGCUAACGCGAUAAGCACACCGCCUGGGGAGUACGGCCGCAAGGUUG